CUUCACGGUUGGCGUUGGUCUUGUUCACUGCUGUGUGCCAAGCUGCUGACAGCAUCUGGCUAUCUCAGUAGAGAUGGGAUUUUGCCAUGUUGCCCAUGCUGGUCUUGAACUCCCGGCCUCAAGAGAUCCUCUUGUCUCCAAAUCGCUUCGCAGAAGUGCUGGGAUUACAGAUCCUGUGCGCAGGUGGCACCCCUAGUCCAAUUCCUGACCCUUCAGUAGCAACUGUUGCCACAGGGGAAAAUGGCGUAACUCAGAUCAGCAGUACAGCAGAAUCCUUUCACAAACAGAAUGGAACUGGAACACCUCAGGUGGAAACAAACACCAGUGAGGGUGGCGAAAACUCUGGAGCCAACGAUAGUUUAAGAACACCUGAACAAGGAUCUAAUGGGACUGAUGGGGCAUCUCAAAAAACUCCCAGUAGCACUGGGCCCAGUCCUGUGUUUAACAUUAAAGCUGUUUCCAUCAGUCCAACCAAUGUGAUCUUAACCUGGGAAAGUAACGACACAGCUGCUUCUCAGUACAAGUAUGUAGUAAAGAAUGAGAUGGAAAAUGAGAAGACAAUUACUGUCGU
rnacentral:sRNA from 1 species